UUCUGCGUCCGGCACGUGUCCAGCCCCGUGUACAGAUCUGAAUGCCUGUACCUGGUCAUUCCUUCGGCUCCUCCCCCUGGCACUUCCUGGCUGCCUGGCACCCAGGCAUCCGAAGGGGAGCUGAAACCUCGAAAUGAGGCAGCGAUUUGGUGGGUGCAGAGAGCACCAGUUUGCGAAGAUCGAGUGCUUAGAAAUAUCUGCAGUCCACCCCCUCAACACACUCUCCCCAUGCCCUUCUGAGUGGCGUCCACCUGGCUCUCUGGACAAGCUGGAGGCGACGAACAAAACCACUUUCCAGAAACCUCAGCACGACCCCCGCCUCUCCAAACACAUUCUGCGUCGCACGCUCGGGCAUCUGAAUCCGGCCGUCUGGAAUCUGCGCAGCGCCCGGCAUUCCCACCUGCGCUGGCCUGCCAGCUCGAGUCACCGAUGAGCCACCCACCAUGGGCGCGCAAUUAGCAGCGCCCGGUGACUCAGGUGCCAGCGCCAGCGCAGGAAUGCGGCCGUGCCGCGGGGGCCAGGCAGGAGCGCUCCGGAGCGCGGGGCGCGACCCUGGCCCGGGGCUGGGUUGCGGCGCCUGCAGCCGGACUCCGAGGUCGCCCGCAGCCCGCAGACACGUGCUCCCCCCUUGAAGAAAGCAAGCGUGGGAGUUCCCCGUCCUGCUGCUCGGGGGCUCGGGGGUCCGGCCGGUUGGCGGAUUGGCUGGGGUGGCACCUGCCGCCGCGCCGGCUCCCUCCCCCGGCCGCCCCGCGCGCGCUCAGAGGACAGCCCGGAGCUUUUCAAAUAGGCACAAAGAACUUCUUUCUUCCCGACUUUGCCCAGUGGAACUAACGUAGGUGUGGCUGCCCCUGCGUGAUUUAAAAACAAACAAAAAAAAGCAGGCGUUUCAGGAAAAAGCAUGGGCCCACCCGUCCGUACGGAGCUGAGAAUCCAAAGGUUGCCUUGCUCAGAUAUGGGUCUCAGAGGGGCAGGGCCGGCCGCCCAGCCGGCGACCCUGCACGAGGCCCCGCCCCACGCGCUGUCAGUCACGCCUCACCUGGGGCCCAGGGCGCUGGGCACACCUGGGAGGGCGGCGCCUGGGACUGGAUUUGCGGAAAGGGACGGAGCCUCAGUGGGGCCUCCCCUGCUGGUUUCCCCUGCACAGCCGCUGCCCGUGUGGUCUGGUGAAGAAACCACAACAGAAGGUAGACCAGAGUGGAGCAACCGGAGACAGGGCGGAAAGCCAGGGGAGCUCCUGGACUUGGCAUAAUCCCCAAGGGUGCACAAGAGUCUAGCCAUCUAGACGAUACCCAUUCAUCCAGCCACCCCUCUGUACCACGGCCGAUUAAGCACCUCCGGACGCCAGCCAAGGGCACGGAUGAAGUCUGUCUGCCUCCAGAGCCCACGGUCCCCGGGAAGCGGAGUGGAAGACGACCGAAGUGCAAGGUGGAAGUAGCCCCGAGGGAGGAAAGUUACAGAUGCCAAAGAACUUGCCUAGCUUCGCCAGGCGAGUAAAAGGCGGAGCUAAGGGGGGUUAGAAGGUCAUACUGAAAGUGGACUUCCAUCCCGGAGCGGGCGGCCCUCGCAGACAGGGCUCACGGCCAAGGAGCAAGCCUCUCCUCACAAACCACUCACCAGGCAGCCCACAGCGCGCUCCGGAUCCGGCUAACAGGGUCCGCUUUCACUGCUUCUGCCCAGGAAGUGGACUGGAGCCCCAGCCGCACUCAGGCCCCCACACCGGUGUCGCUGGCCCAAAGGCCUCCCCGGGGUGACCAGUCCUGUGCGAUCAGCCUGCACCUGGCCCAGUGCUGCUCGUGCUCCGCCCACCCACUCCUGAGCUCUCAGUGGGAGUGGUGGCAUCUCCUCCAGGGAGGGGAACCAGGAGCCUCGCGCCAGGGGUCGCCAGCAGGUAAGGGCCAAGCUGUCCGGCAGCUCAAAGCCCAGUCUUUAAACGGGCUGCCACCACUUCUCCCGUCCCCAUGCCCUGCUCUCAGAACCUGCGUGCCAUGCCCCCUUCUGACCCUGCUUAAGCCAAAGGGGCCUGGGGAUGAUGGACAGAGGGGCGGAGCCAGAGAGAGACUCCAGGGUCUACUGCGCAUGCCCACAAUCCUGAAGCCGCUCUCUGCGGUGCCGGCAGAUGGAACGCAAGGAGAGGAGCGAGCUCUCCCUGUGUGCCUGGACUGUCCCCAAGGCGACAGACGCCCAGAGAGCAUUGCAUAGUCCCGGGCCUGAUUCAGCAAAGUCCCUGCACGCGGGGAUGUGAGAGUGGCGGGGACAGCUCUCAGGACGCAGUGCGAGUCUGAAGCCACAGAGGAGAGGGGCAGGGAGGGUGAGGCGGGAGCGCACGUGAGCCACGGACAGCCGUGGGCACGAUGCCGUCUCAGAAUCCAGCCGGAGCCAGAGCUGCGCCUGGCUGGGAGGGCCCAGCACUUGGGGUUCUCCACUGGACUCUGUUUUAAAGCAAGCCAAACACACCCAAAGCCUGGGAAGAUGACUGCUUUCAAGUGGGCCCUGGCUUGGGCCGUGAGCUCUGGGGCCCUUACGAGGCCACGGAAGGGAAGGAAAAGGGACAACGAGAGGCAGAGAGUGGAGUUUCUUGGACGACAUCAGCGCUCUGGACCUCGGCACCGCGCUCUGUACGAAGGCGGUCCAGGACGGCCCCAACUGUAAGAUCAACGGGGCUGCCAUCAGGCGAGUUCCCAGGGGGCGAGGAAAGCACCUUUCUAAUACCCGGGGCACCCUGGUCUGAGGGCGGAGGCAGCGCACGCGUGUGCCCUGCCCCUGCUGGCCACAGGGCAGUGUGGGGCUCCACCCUGGGACCCCAGGCUCCUGUCUGUGUUGAAGGCCCCCUCUUUUGUAGCCAUGGUUUCCAGCUCACGGAGAAACUCCAUGUCUUUGUUAAAUGAAUGCACAAAUGAAAAAUUACAUUUAAGGAAAGGAAAGCGAAAGGAAGGAUUUGGGUGCAAAAUAAUACAGAGUUGGGUUAUGGGCGGGGAGCACUAGGCUGGGCUCCUCCAGGGGAGUCAGGAGUGGUUCACUCCUCACGUCCACUCUGAUUGGUCAGCUCUGCUCUGAUUGGCUGAUACUCGGGCUGCACCGGUUGUUAAAUAUUUUCCUCCAGGCAGAGAGAGAGAGAGAGAGAGAGAGAGAGAAACAUCCAUCCACUGGUUCACUCCCCACAUGGCAGCAACAGCCCAGGGCUGGGCCAGGCUGAAGCCAGGAGCCAGGAGCCUCAUCAGGGUCUCCCACGUGGGUGGCAGGGGCCCAGGCACUUGGGCCAUCUUCUGGAUGCAUCAGUAGGAAGCUGGAUAGGAAGUGGAGCGGCCGGGACUCGAGCAAGCGCUCUGAUGUGUGAUGCCGGCAAAGCAGCAGGCGGCCUUCCCCACUGCACCACAGCCGUGGCUGCUCCUUAAUGUUUUCAAAGCCACCCUGAGCUACAUGGGCCAUCGUGCUGCCUGGGGUAUUUGGGAGUGGCUUCCCAGACAGACAACAACUUAUGUCUGGUCGCUGCUGCACUGCAGUGAGGGGCCGCAUGCGUAUUAACAAUGCCUACCAGAAACAAGGAGAGAGGCCCAAAUCCGUUUGCUGUCCCGUGACUUUGGUGUAGGAAAUUCACCGGACUGAGUUCAAAGUUCAAAGUCCGUUCAAAGUUCUCACCUUCCCGGGAAAGUGUUCCUGCCACUCCCUUCCCGGUCCCCUCCAACAACAGAGCUGAAGUGGGUGCACCUGUCUCUGCUCUGUCAUCACAGGCAGCGUGUCCUCCUUCGACUGGGGAUGAGGGAGAAUCGAACGGAGACCGAGCGACCCAUCCGGCGGUCAAGUCCUCACAGAACGCUUCAGAUAAAGAGGACGCGCAGGGGAAGCUGCGAACCCUUCACGCUUAAAAGACAGGCAGAUGAGAAGCAGAACGGGCCGAGUCCAAGCCAGCGUGCGUACAGAGACAGGAAGCAGUGGGAGGAAGUAGCCCAGCAGCUUGCAGCUGCUGAUCUUGGGGUUCAGCCUGAGCUAACUGGGUGCCCACAGGGUAUUCUGGGCACGUCUGAUAUCUGGGGCAUCUGGCGUCGGAUUUCCUGACUUCUUACAACCAAAAGCUAGUUAUGAAUUUCAGUCCAAGGUCAGAGAUGGACUAAUUUGUCUUUAUAAUAAUGAACUAGCAAGUGAAUUCUCCAACACUAUGGACUUGUGCUCUGUCUGGGGUGGUGCUGAGCCCGGGUCAUAGGUCUGCUCGGAGCCAGACAUGUGUGGGAGUCUGGGAGAAUGACCCCGUCCUCCGUGCAGAUUAACACAGGGCUGCAUCUCUGACCCAAGGCUCAAGCUCUCCUGUGCCCCAAGUUCUAGUCGCUUCCCAUGCUUGUGAGGUGCUGGCUCUGCACGCCCACUCGGACACACGCUGUCACUCCCCAUUCCUCGGCACUGCACGGUCCCUGUGGUCUCACCGCAACGCAUACUCGCCUUUGGGAAUGGCUCGUUCGCUGCUUCCAGUCCCCUGACUUGGCAAUGGCCUGUUUCCUGCCCAGAAGGAUACAGUGACCCCCACAGGUGCACACAGCCCACUGCUUCCCGCUGUGCCCAGGGCUGAUGCGAGAGAAGAGCUGCAAACCCCACCUCUCAUAGCAGCGGCCAAAGACGGGGAGAGAGCAGAGUGGACAGCGGCGACUCAGGAAUUCAGCCUGGAGACAACCGGCCUCAAGUCACAGCCAGGCCCAUAGAAAUCAGGAGAAAGUGUAAAAAGCAGCACCAAAUAAAUACUAGGGGUAGGCGUUGUGGUGCCAUGGGGUUAGGUGCCACUUGGAAUGCCCACCCCCAUCCUGGGGUGUCGGUCUGAGUCCCAGCUACUCUGCUUUUUAAGUCAGCUUCCCGCUGAUGCAAAGAUAAUUGGACUACUCAUCUCUUUAAUUGGAUAAAGUGAAGAUGUACAACACAAUGUUUUGAUGGACACAUACAGACUAAAGUGAUGAUUAGGCAUCAUUGCAAGCGAAUGCACACGUCCGUCAUCUUACAUGGCUGCCUCUUAGAUGUGUGUGCUGACGGUGUCGGCAAAUUCCUGCUAUCCAUUAUUAACCACUGCCUGCAUGAUGUGCGUUAGAUGUCUAGACUUUCCCAACCCGAAGCCAACUGUGUGCCCUUUCACCUACAUGCACCCGUCCCCCCUUUCGGCCUCUACCCCAACCCCUACCAAUCAUAUCAGUGUGUUUUGUGUGUUCAAUUUUUAGAACAUUGGUUAUUUAUUUUGAUUAUCUUAAAGGUACAGAGCAAGCCAAAGAGAGAGAAAAUUAUGAGAGACAUCCCCCCUCUGCUGGAUUGUUCUCCAAAUGCUUGCAACAGCCAGAACUGUGCCAGGCUGAAGCCAGGAGCCAGGGACUCAAAGCAGACACCUCACAGGGGAGGCAGGGGUGCAAGCAAUCACACCAUAUUCUGUUGAUUUUGCAGGCACGUUAGCAGGAAGCUGGGUCAAAAUAGAGCAUCCGGAACCUAGAAUCAGCAUUUGGAUGUGGGAUGCAGCCACAGUGCCGGGUCCUGGGGUGCAGAUGAUGUCUAUGAGGUAGUCAUUUCAUUCCCUUUGCCUUUAUACCCUGAAGAGAGAUUUCUGGUCUGGUAGUACCAUUUUUAAUGUUGUGAGAAACCUCCUUGCUUUUUCCCAUAGCAGUGGUACCAAUCUACGUUCCCACCAACAGCUCACAGGGUUCCCUCCCAACAUUUGUGAUCUUUUGUCCUUUUGCUAAUGGCUGUCUCUUAGGGAGGCAGUAUUUCAUUGUGGCUUGCUGUCGAACACUUUUCCACAUGUAUCGUGGCCAUUUUUACAUCUUCUUUGGAGAAAUAUCUAUUCAUGUCCUUUGAUGAUUACUUCCUUUUUAAACUAUGGGGUUGUGUGAGUUCUUUCUAGGUUUUGGAUAAUAACAUGACAUAGAUGACUCACAUGACAUAUAUGUCUCGUGACAUACAUGACUCACAAACAUUCUCUCCUAAUCCAUUGGCCACAUUUUCAUUUGGUUUAUUGCUUCAUUUUCUGUGCAAAAGCUUUUUAUGUUUAGGUCUUCAGUCAGUUUGGGCUGAUUCUUUUGUGUAUGGUAUGAGAUAAGGGUCCAGUUUCAUUCUUUUGCAUGUAGAAACCCAGUUUUCCACACCAUUUAUUGAAAAAACUAUCCUUUCCUGUUGUGUCUUCUUGGUGCUGUGUCUAAGUUUGGGUGACCAUGUAUGCUUGCGUUUAUUUCUGGGCUCUAUAUUCUGUUCCCUUGGUCUAUGUAUAUUUUGCACCAGUACCAUAUUAUAAUAUAUUAUCCUAGUGUCACAUAAUUUACAUGCAAAUUAACAGGUUAAGGACAUUUAAUAAAUUAAGUUGUAAAGAUACCCUGAGAAAGUAUUACAUAUUUUUGCUAGAAUCAUAAAUUAAUGAAUGGUAUUUUUAUAUUAAAUUAAUUUUAUUUUCUCUGAGCAAGUAAAAAGCCAGAAAGAGCAUUCCUAGCAAUCUAAGAAGAAGAAGACUCAUCUACAGAAUCAUAACUCAUCAUAAUCACAGCUAAGGCCAAAAAGGGCAGUGAAGCCUGAAACCCGGGGAAAAUAGAUGCUUCCAAGGACCUGAAGCAGAAUAUGACAGUCAGGCCAUGAGAGAGGUAACAGAAAUCUGCAAUGGAUCCUGCCCUCAUGCUCGGGCUGACUCUGGAGCUACGGGUCCAAGGGGAUUCACACCCACUCACAGCCUGCUUCUCCAUGGGUCACAGCAGGUGCUCGAGAGGGAGGAGUGUCGGAGCUUCUGCUAAGAGGACACCAGGCAGCACAAGCUCCUGCCUCCCUACUCCCACAACAAAGGUACCCCUAGACACACUGCACUUACACUGUUGAAAAGAAAAAUUAGGAUCAUGGAGGGAGUCAGAGAGAAGAUACACUGGCUUUUGCCUUACAGGCAGAGGAACCAAAGGGGAAUGGCAGCCGACUUCCCUGUAGAAACUAUGCGAGUGGAAGGCUAUUGGGGAACAUCUUAGCAAUGCUGACGAGGGAGAAGAUUAUCAGCCCCAAUUCUACACCCAGUGAAAGCACUUCCGAACAUGAAGGGAAAUGAAGACUUUUUUAGACAAGGAUUGAGAACAUUCACCACCAACAGACGUGUGCUGCAAGAAAUCUCAAAGGAAAACGUCGGGCAGAAGGAUUAUGGUACUAGACAAUAAAUAUAAAGAAUGCUGGAAAUGGUCAAAGCAAAUGGACUGUGGGCCUCGGUACACCCACCACCACCCUGGGAGCAUGCUCUGACCCCUCAGUCAACCAGGCUACGAUGUCUUCCCUGAACUGCUCUGAAGGAAAUCCGGCCGUCUUAAGAGUAGCAAGGCAGCUACUCACGUACAACUUGGGGGAGAGGCAACUUAGUGGAGGAAUAAUGGGGCCAGGUUCAUUACAGGGCAAAGAACUUUCAAUUAAAGUGAGGUCACAUGAAAAAAGUAUGUAAUGAGGAUACAGAAAAUUCAAGGAAGAGAGAUGAGCUUUGCAAAUCUAGAGGAAAAACUUAAGGAAGAAUUAGAUUUAAAAUACGUCACUCUAACAGCCUACAAUUAAACAAAAAAGGAAGGAGUACUGGGGCCGCUGCUGUGGCAAGGCAGGUAGAAGCUUCCGCCUGUGAUGUCGGCAUCCCACAUGGCACGGAGUGGUGUCCCGGCUGCUCCACUUCCGAUCCAGCUCUCUGCUGGGCCCUGGGAAAGCAGUGGAGGAUGGCCAAGUGCUUGGGUCCCUGCACCCACGUGGGAGGCCUGGAGGAAGCUUCUGGCUCCUGGCUUCAGAUCAGCUCAGCUCUGGCCAUUGUGACCAUUUGGGGAGUGAACCAGCAGAUGGAGGAUUCCCCCACACCAUGUCUUUCAAAUAAAUAAAUAAAUCUUUAAAAAAAUAAAAGAAUACCAGUGCAUGUUUUGAUCCAUGAGCCAAACUCAAAAGCGCCAAAAUUUAUAUUCGUUCACUAUAUCUUUGGACCAUUUUAGAAAGUUCUGUAGAAAGAAAUAAGGAAUUGAUGAAUUGUUGUUUUUUGUAUAGUAAUUCUAUAGUGUUUGUUGUGUGCUAAUUCUUGUCUAGGGCUUUGUGAAUGCUGAAUAACUUCACACACACAGCAACCCCAUGAGGUACAAGUGGGUGUUAUUCAGACUUGGAAAUGUGCUCAGGCCACUGGGAAAGCUGAGGUUGGGAAGCAGGCUUUUCUCUGAAGUCUUUACCUUUAACCCUUGUCCCAGGUAUCUCCCCAGCAUAAUGAUUAUAAACAAACCCCACAUUCUUGAUAGAGAUCAUUUUCCUGUUUGCAGAGUACGUAGAAAGCAAAGAAAACUUCAGCAAGCUCAAGGGGUAAAGAUUUUAGAGUUUAUAUUAUCUGAUUAUGAUUCAAUAAAUCAGAAAAAAUGAUUGAACAGGUGAUCCAUAACUUACUAAUCAGAGAUUAGGAAAUAUUUAGGGAAUACUUGGGUCAAAGAGGAAAUCUACAGGGAAACGCCGGAUCCCUUUGAAAGGCCCUGGGGUCGGGGGGAGUCUCACAGCAGACUCUAGACCCUUGUGCAAAAUGUUCUAUCUGAAAUAUUUUAAGGCCAAAAUGCCUCCCUCGCCAAAGAAUCAAGAUGAGAAAUAAACUAAAUCCAUCCCCCGAGAAACUGUAAAAGAGUAUAAAGAGCAUUUUAAAAAGACAAAAGUUUAAAUUAAUGAACCAGGAACCAAAGCAAAUAGAAUCUAUAAGAACACCAAAACCCUCAUUAUACAAAAACAUCUACACAUAUCUAUAAAAAGCUUCAUUUUUUUUAAAGGAAAGACAGUAACACUAUGAGAUCAGGAAGCAGAAAGAGCAAAUAUUAAAAUGCCUGAAAGUACUGAAAGUAAUGUAAUAUGAAACUCUAUGGCAACAAAUUUGAAAACUGGAAUAAACAUUGAGAAAAAGCGGUGAAACUAUCUAUUUUUGCAGACGCUGUGGUUGUAAACCUAGAAAACCCAAAGGAAUCUAAUAAAAGUCUCCUAGAAUUAAGUGGAGAAUUUGGCAAAUUCGGGUCCAGAAAUGUGCCAAAACAUCAUUAACCUUUCUCUAUUCUAGGAAUCAGAAUAGGGCUGGAAAAGUUUGUUUAAAAAUGGUGAAAAUAAAAUCCCUGUGAAAUAUUUGAAACAGAUAUGACCGAGAGAAAAAGGGGGGGGGGGCAAACAACAGUCAUAUUAAAAUAUUUAAGAGAAGUGAAAACAGGGAAAGACUUAAUGGAAUCUUGGACAAGCAGUCUUGGUGCCAUAAACGUAGUUAAAGCCCCCACAUUGUGUGUGUGUAUUUCACUGAAAAUCACAACAAAGCAGACUUUCAGUUUGUUUGUUUUUGAUAAUUAGAUAAAGUGGUCUUAAAGUUUCCAGAGAAAAUAUAACUAGCAAAGAAAAGACAACUAAUUUUGGAGAA